rnacentral:misc_RNA from 1 species
GAUGAAUAACGUAGCGAAAUGCGAUACUUGGUGUGAAUUGCAGAAUCCCGUGAACCAUCGAGUCUUUGAACGCAAGUUGCGCCCGAAGCCAUUAGGCCGAGGGCACGCCUGCCUGGGCGUCACACGUCGUUGCCCCCCCAUCUACUCCUUCGGGAUUGCGGGGGGCGGAUGAUGGCCUCCCGUGCGCCUCGCCGCGCGGUUGGCAUAAAUGCCAAGUCCUCGGCGACGCACGCCACGACAAUCGGUGGUUGCGAAACCUCGGUUGCCCGUCGUGUGCGGUCGUCGCGCAUCGAGGGCUCGAAAAAAUUGCCGGGUUCCGGCUCGGCUUUCAACGCGACCCCAGGUCAGGCGGGGUUACCCGCUGAAUUUAAGCAUAUCAAAAGGGAGGA